UGUGUGCAAAGGCAUAAGCGUGCUUGACUGCAAGAUCGACGGAUCAAGCAGGUACGAAAGUAGGUCUUAGUGAUCCGGUGGUUCUGUAUGGAAGGGCCAUCGCUCAACGGAUAAAAGGUACUCCGGGGAUAACAGGCUGAUACCGCCCAAGAGUUCAUAUCGACGGCGGUGUUUGGCACCUCGAUGUCGGCUCAUCACAUCCUGGGGCUGUAGUCGGUCCCAAGGGUAUGGCUGUUCGCCAUUUAAAGUGGUACGCGAGCUGGGUUCAGAACGUCGUGAGACAGUUCGGUCCCUAUCUGCCAUGGGCGUUGGAAGUUUGAGAGGGGCUGCUCCUAGUACGAGAGGACCGGAGUGGACGAACCUCUGGUGUUCCGGUUGUCACGCCAGUGGCAUUGCCGGGUAGCUAUGUUCGGAAGCGAUAACCGCUGAAAGCAUCUAAGCGGGAAGCGCGCCUCAAGAUGAGACUUCCCGGGGCACAAGCCCCCUAAAGGAACCAUAUAGACUAUGUGGUUGAUAGGUCAGGUGUGUAAGUACAGCAAUGUAUUGAGCUAACUGAUACUAAUGAUCCGUGCGGCUUGACCAU
rnacentral:rRNA from 1 species